AUGGAAGGCCCAGCUCAGCUUCUCUGCCUGCUAGUGUUCUGGCUCCCAGAUGCCAUGGGAGACAUUGUGAUGACUCAGUCCCCAGCUUCCCUCUCUGUGUCUCCUGGUGAAAGAGUCUCCCUCAAUUGCAAGUCCAGUGAGACUGUUUAUAGUAUAGCCUGGUAUCAGCAGAAACCUGGGCAGGCUCCUAGGCUCCUCAUCUAUGGUGCAAACAGCAGGGCUGAUGGCAUCCCAGACAGAUUCAGUGGGAGUGGGUCUGGGACAGACUUCACUCUCACUAUCAGCAGCCUGAAAGCUGAAGAUUUGGGAACUUAUUACUGUCAGGAGGGUUAUAGCUCUCCCACAGUGUUACAUGCUUGA